rnacentral:rRNA from 1 species
GACGAACGCUGACGGCGUGCUUAACACAUGCAAGUCGAACGGAAAGGCCCUGCUUUUGUGGGGUGCUCGAGUGGCGAACGGGUGAGUAACACGUGAGUAACCUGCCCUUGACUUUGGGAUAACUUCAGGAAACUGGGGCUAAUACCGGAUAGGAGCUCCUGCUGCACGGUGGGGGUUGGAAAGUUUCGGCGGUUGGGGAUGGACUCGCGGCUUAUCAGCUUGUUGGUGGGGUAGUGGCUUACCAAGGCUUUGACGGGUAGCCGGCCUGAGAGGGUGACCGGCCACAUUGGGACUGAGAUACGGCCCAGACUCCUACGGGAGGCAGCAGUGGGGAAUAUUGCACAAUGGGCGGAAGCCUGAUGCAGCAACGCCGCGUGCGGGAUGACGGCCUUCGGGUUGUAAACCGCUUUCGCCUGUGACGAAGCGUGAGUGACGGUAAUGGGUAAAGAAGCACCGGCUAACUACGU